UUUUCACUGAAUUUCUGGUCAUCUGUCCAUAACAGAAAGCCCCGGGAGGAUUCAGAAGAUCUUCACCCUGCUGCAGACACUGCCAGAAGGAGAAUCCUCCAAAUAAAGCUUCUUGCAUAAAGAACAAUACCAGAAAUGACCGAAGAUACCAAGAACCCAGAUAAAGAGGCUCGUCUGUCCCUAAGCCUACCAAGACUGACAGACAGGGCCAAAUGCACACGCACAAAGGAGAAAAGUUCAAAAGUUCAACAAUGAAGAAGACCACAAUCUUCAGCCCCAAGAGACCACCAGAGACCCCCGCAGGACCACCAUGGCAAACCACGUGUGCCCAGAAGGGCGUGGACCUAUUCAGCAUGAGGGGCGAGGGCAGGCGGGGCCAGGGGUUGAAUAUGCAUGGAAGUUGUGUAAUGUACUGCAUAUGGAACACCUUUGGGAAUAAAGGUUUGGGUCAGACUGAGGCUCAGGGCACAAGUCUUGGAGAGCGAUCUCACUUGUGUCGGCGCUGGCAAUACAUACCCGCUUCAGAACUACC